UACGUAGGGUCCAAGCGUUAAUCGGAAUUACUGGGCGUAAAGCGAGUGUAGGUGGUUGUCCAAGUUGGAUGUGAAAGCCUUGAGCUCAACUCAAGAAAUGCAUUCAGGGCUGGGCGGCUAGAGGACCGGAGAGGAUAGUGGAAUUCCCAGUGUAGUGGUGAAAUACGUAGAGAUUGGGAAGAACACCAGUGGCGAAGGCGGCUAUCUGGACGGUUUCUGACACUAAGACUCGAAAGCGUGGGGAGCAAACAGG
rnacentral:rRNA from 1 species